rnacentral:rRNA from 1 species
UACGUAGGGGGCAAGCGUUGUCCGGAUUUAUUGGGCGUAAAGAGCGUGUAGGCGGCCAGAUAGGUCCGUUGUGAAAACUCGAGGCUCAACCUCGAGACGCCGAUGGAAACCAUUUGGCUAGAGUCCGGAAGAGGAGAGUGGAAUUCCUGGUGUAGCGGUGAAAUGCGCAGAUAUCAGGAGGAACACCGAUGGCGAAGGCAGGUCUCUGGGCCACUACUGACGCUGAGAAGCGAAAGCAUGGGGAGCGAACAGG